ensembl:lncRNA
AUUGCAUUUCUUUAAAAUAUUUUAUGUCAGAAAUUAUAAUACUGUAUCAACUUGAGGGAGUUAAUUUGUCUUUAUAACGCGAUCUCGUUGUUUCCCGCCCACAGGUCAUUCUUUCAGCCAAUGAAAAGUAAGGAGAAGAGUGAUGGACAGGUCAAAACAAAGACCGAACCUGUAAAAAGUCCCCUCAAAAUUCAGAAUGGUGUGCAGGAAAGCGAUUCACCAGUAAAGAAGGUGCAUAAACGCAGCCGAGCAAUCAUAGACAGCGAUGAUGAAGAUCAGCAGAUAGUAAAAGAGCAGGUGCCAAAACACAGUGAAGUUGAACCAGUAAAGCCAGAGCAGAAAUCUGAUGUUACAAAGGCUGCUUCCACGCCGGUUUCUCCAAAAACUCCUAUAACCCCGACGACUCCGGUCACGUCGAGUACCUCUGUUGCGGUGGUAACCCCUGCUUCCUCAGGUACUCCGGGAACCCCAGCAACUCCGACAUCAACAUCGCCGUCAGGCAUUCCCAAACGCAAGACCGGUCUGUAUCACUUUCUUCUUCUCACAUUCCUCCUUGUGCUACUGAUCAUUUAUUCUUUCUUUAAUUAAUACUCCAAAAAGGCAUGUAGUAGAUUGUGUCCCACAGGAAAGUGUAUGUUUUAAAUAUAAUACAGUAGGCUAUAUGGGAUUAAAAUCCCUCUCCCGUUCUCUAG